ACCUACGGGGGGCAGCAUUGAGGAAUAUUGGUCAAUGGUCGGGAGACUGAACCAGCCAAGCCGCGUGAGGGAUGAAGGUACAGAGUAUCGUAAACCUCUUUUGUCAGGGAACAAAGGCGGGGACGUGUCCCCGGAUGAGUGUACCUGAAGAAAAAGCAUCGGCUAACUCCGUGCCAGCAGCCGCGGUAAUACGGAGGAUGCGAGCGUUAUCCGGAUUUAUUGGGGUUAAAGGGUGCGCAGGCGGUCUGUUAAGUCAGCGGUCAAAGCCCGGGGCUCAACCCCGGCCCGCCGUUGAAACUGGCAGG
rnacentral:rRNA from 1 species